AGCCGAAGUCGGACGCUUAACCAACUGAGCCACCCAGGCGCCAAGUACUAUGUUGAAUAAGAGUGGAGAGAAGGGGCAUCUUUGCCUUAUUCCUGUUUUGAAGGGCAAAACACUCAUAUUUUUUCACAACUAAGUAUGAUGUUGGGUCAGCUGAGUCUUUUGUAAUUGUUCUUGAGCAAGUUGGGGAAGUCACUCUUUAUUCCUAGUUUGCUGAGAAAUUUUGUCACGAAUCACCUUCAGGUUUGAUUUCAUCAAAUGACUUUUCUGCAUCUAUCUAUACAGUCACAGGAUUUUUCUUCUUUAGUCGUCCAUUAUGUUAAUUGAUUGUUGAAUCAAUUCUUGUUUCUUGAAUGUUGAACCAGCCUUCCAAUACCUGGGGAGGGGGGGGGAACCACUUGGUCACGGUGUGUAAUGUCACAGAAAAAACCUCCGCCUUUUCUUUCCUGAGUAGGAAAAAACCCUGUUCUUCCCUGUUGUGUUUUUCACCCGUGAGUCUCCCGCGCGGCUCACAGAAGAAUGCUUUGACUUCUCACGCUCUGGUCACCAAAUGUGUGUGAGUUUUUCCCCACAAGAAGCAAUUCUCUGUGACCUCAGUGGGGUGUCCUACAAUUCAAUUCAAUUCUGACACUACCUACCUGGAGACAGCAUCAGAUUCCCCACGUUGGGGGCAGAGUCCCAUCAGACAGCCCCAUGCCUCCUUCAGAUGCCACUCACAAGCCCACCGAUCUGAAAGGGAGCCAGAGGACAUGAAUGGAGAGUAUCGUGCCUGCACCCUCAGAAGAACCGACCUUAAGAAGGGAGAGACUGAUUUUUCCUAAGUGCCUGAACGACAGAUCAAGACGUAGCUCUUGACCAAUGAACAUCUGCCAAGAAUUUCCCCCCAUCCUCCAGCCAAUGAGCUUACUGCUUGAAAUUGGGCUGGCCGUCUCCCUCUGUGGUCUCUUCACCCAUAAAUACAACGCACCCCAAACCCUGAAAGGAUCUGCCUGCGGCUUGCCCAGGACAUGGUUCUCCUAUUGCAAGUCCACUGCUAUUCCUGAAGAAAGUCAACUUUUGGUGACUUGAUUUUGCCUCAGUUUACCUCUUGUUUCAGGUUGGCAGUCUACACUUCUGACCAAUCAGCUAUCCUUUGGAGGUAGCCACGAUGCCCCUCCGUGGACUUCGGACACCAGCCGCAAAUCCGGGCUGUUACCUGUUGGCUGUGAAUCAGAAGUUCCCAUGACCCCCUUCUCAGGUUCUCUGGAGCUACAGACAGCUGUCAGCUCCUUCACCUCUGCUCCAGUCGCUUGAUUUCCAUUGGCUUGAGUCAGAAAAUACACCAGCCCUGUGUCCAACUCACAAAAUUUAGACCCAGAAGGAAAAAUAAAUUCCUUGUGAGGUCAUCCCUCUCGUCUGAACACUAUCUGGUAGACUCCUUGAGCCACGAAAAUGGCAAAGAUCUUGGACGUCUGCCCAGCUGUCGGAGGGAAUGGAAGAGACGAGGAAAAUGGCCAGGAGCGGUGGUGCACGGGAACACGGAGCCUGAACAGCAAACACAGGAGAUGGACCAGGACUGCAUAUUGAUUCGAGUUACUUCCAUGGGAGCAGAGACAAGCAAAGCCUGUGUGUGUGUGUGUGUGUGUGUGUGUGUGUGUGUGUGCAGAUGUGCCCAUCAGGGGAGGCGCGAAGAGUGCCAGUGAAAACCUUUCAGAGAAGCAUAAAAUGCUUAUUCAUUUCCUUACAGGUAUUCGGUCCAAAAGAGCGCCAGAAAAUCCAAGAACAUAGCUGGUUGCCCUUUGUCUUGAAAAGCCAAACCAAAAGUAAAGGGCUAGAAAAAAGUAGGGGCAGAGCUGAGAUGUUUGUAAGCUGUGUUUGGUAAAGUGAUCUGGGAGGGAGUAUGUGUCUGCAAAGUCUAGCUUGUUCCUCAGUGCUCGACACUUCCUCAGUCUGCGUUCACAGCCAGCAGUCUGAUUACUGACCUUUAGAGAAAGGAGUCUGCAGAGAUGGGGAAAUUUCAGCCGUUCGCUAGCAAGCUCCAGGCCUAGGGGAUCCUUCUUCCCGCCACUUGGCUUUUUCAAAUGGGCUAAUUACUUCCCUGAAGGGGGCUAAGGGGUCCAGCAACUCUUGAAUCCUAGCCCUGUGAGCUCGAGACGUGUUUUCCAAGAAGGCUCUUUUAAGGCGUUUGGGAAUAUUGAGGACAUUCCGCCAUGCUUGUUUGAUUUUGUUCUUUCAUUUCUCUAAAAAGCAAUUUGAUACAUUUGUAUUUCUCUCUGGAUAAAAUCAUGCGAAAUUAUUUUAUCCUACUUGACAGACUGCAUUGUUAACCCUCCUAGUAUGUAGUAUGUGUCAAGGAAUGCAUUACAUAGAGCACACAUUUAUUGGACACACUGUAGUCUCUUAAAAUAGGGGUAAAAGCUGCUAUCAGCAUCAAAAUAUCUCUGUUCUCCCAAGAGCAGUAGAUAUUGGGUUACCGCCUGUUGGUCGGAAAGGUACAGUUUAAACACUUACUUUAAAUAAAAAUACAUAUAAAACAGA